AACACAGGCCACCGGCGGACCGGAGGGGAGUAGCCAUACACAGGCGUUCCCCUCUGUCAAAGUACAAGUCCAAAUGGUCCUAUGCGUACAAUAAAACUAGUUGCAACUAAACUAUUCGCUAGACUAAAUCUAGUUGCGUGAGUGAAUCGACGUCGUCGUAAAAAAUGCCGAAUUGUUCUGUUUUUUGCUGCAAAAAGAGAUCUGCCACGUCAAAUUUACAAAAAGAUGGCGUUACCUUUCAUAUGUUUCCUAAAGAUCCAAAUUUAAGAAAUAUAUGGAAGACAUUUUCUCAUAACAGACCAACCUGGAUUCCCACAAGAAAUAGUGUCAUUUGCUCAAAUCAUUUUAAGACCUCUGACUUUCAAGUGUUGGCGAACAAUAGGAGGAGAUUAGUCGAUGGCGCCAAACCAACCGCCAACUGUAUUUGUUCCGUAAGUUUUUAUUUUAUUCAUGUGCAAGGUCAUAGAUAAUAUAAUACUAGCUUAGGUAAACGAAUAGUACAUUCCACAUGAUGUACCUCGUUGACGUUAGUCAUAGUGGUGAAAUGAAGCCUACAUUUUUAAACUUAAUCUAAUUUUCCAGAAUCAUCGACAAUCAUUAAAUAUACCAGAUGAGAGGUUAUCAUCUAAUGGGCCCAUUAAUGACACUCGGACUAUUCCUAAUUCAUUGACAUCACCGUGUAGAUCGUCAACUCCUCAAAAUACUCAGUCAAAGGAAACAUCUAAAAAAUCUGCUUCAAUUCCCACUACUGCACUUACACCAAGAAAA